GACCUAAACCACUGACUUCGGUCGCUGGCAUGGUCGAAAAUCGCGAUGAACAUAAAAACCCCGUCAUUAGGGCGUUCAUCGCGUUGCGUCGGGAAACUGACGUAGAGGUCUUCGGACCUU
rnacentral:sRNA from 12 species